GAUGAACGCUGGCGGCGUGCCUAAUACAUGCAAGUCGAGCGAACGGACGAGAAGCUUGCUUCUCUGAUGUUAGCGGCGGACGGGUGAGUAACACGUGGAUAACCUACCUAUAAGACUGGGAUAACUUCGGGAAACCGGAGCUAAUACCGGAUAAUAUUUUGAACCGCAUGGUUCAAAAGUGAAAGACGGUCUUGCUGUCACUUAUAGAUGGAUCCGCGCUGCAUUAGCUAGUUGGUAAGGUAACGGCUUACCAAGGCAACGAUGCAUAGCCGACCUGAGAGGGUGAUAGGCCACACUGGAACUGAGACACGGUCCAGGCUCCUACGGGAGGCAGCAGUAGGGAAUCUUCCGCAAUGGGCGAAAGCCUGACGGAGCAACGCCGCGUGAGUGAUGAAGGUCUUCGGAUCGUAAAACUCUGUUAUUAGGGAAGAACAUAUGUGUAAGUAACUGUGCACAUCUUGACGGUACCUAAUCAGAAAGCCACGGCUAACUACGUG
rnacentral:rRNA from 1 species